GAGGCCCCGCCUCCAGACCACGUGUGCGCCCUGCGCCACGCUUGCCGCAGCUUAAGAGGUUUCGCAUCGGGAGCUGAGUUCCUGGGCUGCGGUUCGGCGCUCGGAGCCGGUCUGGCCUGUGCCCGCGGCGGUGCCCUGUCCCCAACCGGGCCCCAGGCGCCAUGGCGUCGCGCGGGAGGAAGCGGAAGGCCGAGGCGGCGCUGGCCGCUGCGGCCGAGAAGCGGGAGAAGCCGGCCGGCGGCCAGGAAGGGGGAGUGGAGGGGCCGAGCGUCGUCAUCGAGCACUGCACGAGCUGACGAGUCUACGGGCGCAACGCCGCGGCCCUGAGCCAGGCGCUGCGCCUGCAGGCCCCCGAGCUGACGGUGAAGGUGAACCCCGCCAGGCCGCGGAGGGGCAGCUUCGAGGUGACGUUGCUGCGCGCCGACGGCAGCAGCGCGGAGCUCUGGACGGGUCUUAAGAAGGGGCCCCCACGCAAACUCAAGUUUCCGGAGCCUCACGUGGUGCUGGAGGAGCUGAAGAAGUACCUUUCGUAGGGAGGUGGGGCAGAAGGCGUCUCGCUGAGGUUCGAGAUGGCGAAUGGCGGGGAGCGGGCUGAUCUUCGUGCGGCUGCUGGCGAAGCAGCCCUUCCUGUUAAACCCCCAAUCCCCGAUUUCACACAGGACCCUCUGUCCCUGGUGAUGUUGGAGCAUUUAUGACGGGACAUGGCCAAACUUCAGUCAUGUCCCUGAAGCUGUGGUUUCCUCCCCUCCGGAAACGAUGGUUCAGUUGUGAGGCAGUCCUCUAGUAAGACAUUGAAAAGUUCUUGGAUUUGGUUUAAUAAAAAUUAAAGGAUUUGAGUUUACAUAAA